GAUGAAGAACGCAGUGAAAUGCGAUAAGUAAUGUGAAUUGCAGAAUUCAGUGAAUCAUCGAAUCUUUGAACGCACAUUGCGCCCAUUAGUAUUCUAGUGGGCAUGUCUGUUCGAGCGUCAUUAAUUCCACUUAAGCCCUGCUUAGUGUUGGGAAUCUACUCUAGUGGUGCUACCCUGGAGCUACCCCUGAAAGGGGGCUGGCCCGGUAGCUACCCUGUAGUUCCUCAAAGAUAGUGCGCGGAGUUGCGUGGUCCUCUGAGCUUAGUAACUAUACACCUAGCUUUUGAGUGUCCCGCGGCGCCUGCCGUUUAAACCCCAUCUUUUAAUGGUUGACCUCGGAUCAGGUAGGAAUACCCGCUGAACUUAAGCAUAUCAAUAAGCGGAGGA
rnacentral:misc_RNA from 1 species